rnacentral:rRNA from 1 species
UACAGAGGUCCCGAGCGUUGUUCGGAUUCAUUGGGCGUAAAGGGUGCGUAGGCGGCGGGGCAAGUCUGAUGUGAAAUCCCGGGGCUCAACCCCGGAACUGCAUUGGAUACUGCCUUGCUCGAGUACUGGGGAGGGAACUGGAAUUUACGGUGUAGCAGUGAAAUGCGUAGAGAUCGUAAGGAAGGCCGGUGGCGAAGGCGAGUUCCUGGACAGUUACUGACGCUGAGGCACGAAGGCCAGGGGAGCAAACGGG